UUAUGAUGUGUACUCUGUUUACAUUACAGUUGUUUAUUAGUUUACUCGUUUGUUUUGCGACUGAUGAAAUGCCGACAUAUAUAUAUUUUCAACAUUUGACAUAACCCUGUAUGUUUUGCAGGGACAACCCAGGACGUGCAUUUCUCAGCACCCAGUCAACUGCCAAAAGUGACUCAACCACAGGCCACCAGUGGAACUCGGCUGUACCACUGCAGUGCUGUGGAAAUUGCCUUCACCAGCGGCUUUGCAACAGCUGUUUCGCAGCAUGUCGGAGACAAUGCCUACGAAAUUAUUGGCCCUGAUCAUGAGAGCCCUCAAGGGGCAAACAACAUCUCUGUUGCAGAAGUGAGCCCGAUACCACUUGGAAGUUACCAUGACAGAUGACACGGCAGCAAUAGAUACAGAGACUGCCAUGUCUGCUGCAGCUGCAACAGUGUACGAGGCAAGCAGCAGCGCGUCAGCAUCAGCAGCAGUGUCAGAAGGAACCACACCAGGCCUGGUAGAGCAACAUGUGUGCUAUCACUGACUUUUUUUGUAGUGGAUACAACUCAUUUGCUCAACAUACAAAAGCUUUUCACCACGACUGUGAGCCAGUGUUAUUGUGCAGCAAGUGCAAGACUAAGUUAGGUUUUAUAACACAGUACAAGCAUCACUUUAAUAUAUGCAAAUGCAAACAUAUUACAGUUGUUGCCUCCCCAGCCAGCCCACAUAGUGACAACAAUGUGGAACACAUGGUGGGACACACCUCUCCCCCAUUACAAGAUAGUAGAGACUGUCAGUGUUGCUAGAUUGACUGGUCUUUGUAGGCAACUAGAAGGACAACGCAGGUGUCAUAAGAUUGUUGUUGAUGUUGUUGUUGAAGAGGUAAAAAAAAAGUUUGAUGCAGCUGAAGUGCCAACUGAUAUUGAGCAAAUCAAAAGCAACCACCUGAGAAAGCAACACUAUCGAAAUUUGGGUAUCUAUGUGCCACCAACUCUGGUAAGAAUGGCAUAGGACAGAAGUGUGAUGAAAAUCACACAGACACUGCUGUUGCAUCACUGGCCACAGUGAGCAGCGACUUGUAGGGCAAGAGAGUCAACUGAAACUAACAUUAUGAUAUAGUGUCAUGCUCCCAUGUGACCACUUUUCAAGUUAUUUUGCAAGAUACAGCGCAACCUCCAGAAACGAGACUGCAACUUGUCUGUAAAAAAGCUUUCACAAAAACUUAUUCAUAACACUAUUAACA
rnacentral:lncRNA from 1 species